ACCAGACUCCUACGGGAGGCAGCAGUGGGGAAUAUUGCACAAUGGGGGAAACCCUGAUGCAGCAACGCCGCGUGAAGGAAGACGGUUUUCGGAUUGUAAACUUCUAUCAAUAGGGAAGAAAGAAAUGACGGUACCUGUCGAAUAAGCCACGGCUAACUACGUGCCAGCAGCCGCGGUAAUACGUAGGUGGCAAGCGUUGUCCGGAUUUACUGGGUGUAAAGGGCGUGUAGCCGGGCUGACAAGUCAGAUGUGAAAUCCGGGGGCUCAACCCCCGAACUGCAUUUGAAACUGUUGGUCUUGAGUAUCGGAGAGGCAGGCGGAAUUCCUAGUGUAGCGGUGAAAUGCGUAGAUAUUAGGAGGAACACCAGUGGCGAAGGCGGCCUGCUGGACGACAACUGACGGUGAGGCGCGAAAGCGUGGGGAGCAAACAGGAUUAGAUACCCCAGUAA
rnacentral:rRNA from 1 species